rnacentral:rRNA from 1 species
UACGUAGGUGGCGAGCGUUGUCCGGAAUUACUGGGCGUAAAGAGAGCGUAGGCGGCACUACAAGUCUCAUGUGAAAUACCCGGGCUUAACUUGGGGGUUGCAUGGGAAACUGUAGAGCUUGAGUACAGGAGAGGCAAGCGGAAUUCCUAGUGUAGCGGUGAAAUGCAUAGAUAUUAGGAGGAACACCAGUGGCGAAGGCGGCUUGCUGGACUGAAACUGACGCUGAGGCUCGAAAGCGUGGGGAGCAAACAGG